AUUGAACGCUGGCGGCAGGCCUAACACAUGCAAGUCGAACGAGUGGCGGACGGGUGAGUAAUGUCUGGGAAACUGCCUGAUGGAGGGGGAUAACUACUGGAAACGGUAGCUAAUACCGCAUACCAUCGGAUGUGCCCAGAUGGGAUUAGCUAGUAGGUGGGGUAAAGGCUCACCUAGGCGACGAUCCCUAGCUGGUCUGAGAGGAUGACCAGCCACACUGGAACUGAAACACGGUCCAGACUCCUACGGGAGGCAGCAGUGGGGAAAAGUGCACAAGGGGCGGAAGCCUGGUGCCACCAAGCCGCGGGGAUGAAGGAAGCCUUCGGGUUGUAAAGUACUUUCAGCGGGGAGGCGUUACCCGCAGAAGAAGCACCGGCUAACUCCGUGCCAGCAGCCGCGGUAAUUC
rnacentral:rRNA from 1 species